rnacentral:lncRNA from 1 species
AUCCUGGUCCACUCCGCAGAGGCCCGAGCGGGCUCGCGAGGGAACGGGUUCUCCGAGUCUGGCCGGCCACAACAACUGGAUUCUCUUUUCUGAUUUUUGCUGCAGCUUCUGCUUUGUAAUCAUACGGACAGUUGUGCUUGUCAGAGUUAACGGUGAAGUCCACAAAACAAAUUUCCACAUCGGCAGUCAAACCUGUAAGACCAACUUUCUUUCUGCACAUGAAACAUCUGUUUUUCUUUGGUUUGGGCAAUUCAGGAGCUUUUUCUUUACUCUGAGAAGUACUGGGCUGAAAAACUGAUGGGCUGGGCUGAGUGACAACUGGCUCUCACACCUCUGUUUUCGGGGUAGUUAUUUUGUCCUCUGUUGAAAUGCUCAUUUCUGUCAUUUGCUGAGUUACAGGCAAGGCAGCCGCAGGCACAUUUCUUGAUUUUUCAGAUGUGCUGCCAGCAGCACCUUCACAGUUGUUUAAGCUAGUGUCUGCUCUCUGUACAGAUGCAGAAUCUGAGGUAGGACUGUUGGAACCACUAGCUGUCCCCAUUGGGCUCAUUCUGCCACUAUUCUGCUG